UACGGAGGGUGCAAGCGUUAUCCGGAUUCACUGGGUUUAAAGGGUGCGUAGGUGGCUAUAUAAGUCAGUGGUGAAAGCCCGCGGCUCAACCGUGGAAUUGCCAUUGAAACUGCAUAGCUUGAGUACAAUUGAAGUGGGCGGAAUACAUCAUGUAGCGGUGAAAUGCUUAGAUAUGAUGUAGAACACCGAUUGCGAAGGCAGCUCACUAAGUUGUAACUGACACUGAGGCACGAAAGCGUGGGUAGCGAACAGG
rnacentral:rRNA from 1 species